GACGAACCGUGCGAACGUUAUUCGGAAUCAUUGGGCUUAAAGGGCGCGUAGGCGGCGGCGUAAGUUGGAAGUGAAAUCCCAUCGGCUCAACCGUGGAAUUGCUCCCAGUACUGCGUCGCUCGAGGGGGAUAGGGGUCUGCGGAACUACCGGUGGAGCGGUGAAAUGUGUUGAUAUCGGUGGGAACGCCAGUGGCGAAAGCGGCAGACUGGACCCCUCCUGACGCUGAUGCGCGAAAGCUAGGGGAGCAAACGGG
rnacentral:rRNA from 1 species